GACGAACGCUGGCGGCGGGCUUAACACAUGCAAGUCGAAGGGGAUUCAGGAAGCUUGCUUCCUGAUGAGACUGGCGCACGGGUGAGUAACACGUAAGAAAUCUGGCUACAGGAGGGGGAUAACAUCGGGAAACCGGUGCUAAUACCGCAUGAUGCAGCGGGGCCGCAUGGCCACAGUUGUUAAAGGAGCAAUCCACCUGUAGAUGAUCUUGCGGGCCAUUAGUUAGUUGGUGAGGUAACGGCUCACCAAGGCGAUGAUGGCUAGGGGUUCUGAGAGGAUGAUCCCCCACACUGGAACUGAGACACGGUCCAGACUCCUACGGGAGGCAGCAGUGAGGAAUAUUGCGCAAUGGGCGAAAGCCUGACGCAGCCACGCCGCGUGCCGGAAGACGGUCCUAUGGAUUGUAAACGGCUUUUACCAGGGAAGAAUCAUCUCGAUUCGUCGGGAUCUGACGGUACCUGGUGAAUAAGCACCGGCUAACUCCGUGCCAGCAGCCGCGGUAAUACGGAGGGUGCAAGCGUUGUCCGGAAUCAUUGGGUGUAAAGGGUGCGUAGGCGGGUCUUUAAGUCUGGGGUGAAAUCUUGCGGCUCAACCGUAAAAUGGCCUCGGAUACUGGAGACCUUGAGUAUGACAGAGGGUGGCGGAAUUCGUAGUGUAGCGGUGAAAUGCAUAGAUAUUACGAAGAACACCAGUGGCGUAGGCGGCCACCUGGGUCAUAACUGACGCUGAGGCACGAGAGCGUGGGGAGCGAACAGGAUUAGAUACCCUGGUAGUCCACGCUGUAAACGAUGUAUACUAGGUGUCGGGUCCUUCGGGAUUCGGUGCUGCAGCUAACGCAUUAAGUAUACCACCUGGGGAGUACGUCGGCAACGAUGAAACUCAAAGGAAUUGACGGGGGCCCGCACAAGCGGUGGAGCAUGUGGCUUAAUUCGAUGCAACGCGAAGAACCUUACCUGGGCUAAAUCUGCGGUUAAGUGACCCGAAAGGGGAUCGUCUCAGUUUACUGAGGACCGUAGAAGGUGCUGCAUGGCUGUCGUCAGCUCGUGCCGUGAGGUGUUGGGUUAAGUCCCGCAACGAGCGCAACCCCUAUGGUUAGUUACCAGCACGUAAUGGUGGGGACUCUGGCCAGACUGCCUACGCAAGUAGUGAGGAAGGUGGGGACGACGUCAAGUCAUCAUGGCCCUUACGUCCAGGGCUGCACACGUGCUACAAUGGCCGGCACAACGGGUCGCGACCCCGCGAGGGGGAGCUAAUCUCCAAAGCCGGUCCCAGUUCGGAUCGCAGUCUGCAACUCGACUGCGUGAAGUUGGAAUCGCUAGUAAUCGCGUAUCAGCAACGACGCGGUGAAUACGUUCUCGGGCCUUGUACACACCGCCCGUCAAGCGAUGGAAGUGAGGAGUACCUGAUGCCGCCGCGCUAACCCUUCGGGGAGGCCGGUGUCCAGGGUAAGCCUCAUAACUGGCGCU
rnacentral:rRNA from 1 species